AAACCAUGAUGUGGACAUAUGUUAAGCAACUCUUUAAACCUAUCCCAAUAUUGGUAUAAAUGUUUCUCCAUUUUUUUGAGUGAAAGAAGUGAUUUGCCUUUUAAAAGAAU
rfam:Citrus clementina cultivar Clemenules unplaced genomic scaffold scaffold_9, whole genome shotgun sequence.